GACUGUAUAGUGCAGUUGGAUUAGCAUGCCUGACUUUGGAUCAGAAGGUUGUGGGUUCUACUCCCAUUGUGGUCA